rnacentral:tRNA from 1 species
CCCUGGUUACCGCAGUUGGUAGAGCGCUCCACCUGUAAUGGAGAGGUCCCGGGUUCGAUACCCGGACCAGGCG